AUUGAACGCUGGCGGCAGGCCUAACACAUGCAAGUCGAACGAGUGGCGGACGGGUGAGUAAUGCUUGGGAAUCUAGCUUAUGGAGGGGGAUAACUACGGGAAACUGUAGCUAAUACCGUGUAUCAUAGGCUGAGCCCAAGUGGGAUUAGGUAGUUGGUAAGGUAAAGGCGCACAAAGCUGAAGAUUUCUAGCUGGUCUGAGAGGAUGACCAGCCACACGGGGACUGAGACACGGCCCAGACGCCUACGGUGGGCAGCAGUGGGGAAUAUUGCGCAAUGGGGGCAACCUGACGCAGCCAUGCCGCGUGAAUGAAGAAGACCUUCGGGUUGUAAAGUUCUUUCGGUAGCGAGGCGUUAACAACAGAAGAAGCACCGGCUAACUCCGUGCCAGCAGCAGCGGUAAUAC
rnacentral:rRNA from 1 species